rnacentral:lncRNA from 1 species
CUCACGUGUCUGGCAGACAUUGCCACAGCUGUGCUGCUGUGUGCUUACUGUAGUGCAGCAGUGUAUAGUAGAUCAGUGCUCAGUCAGAACCCAGAAUGGCCAGAAGCAAGAGGAAAAGCAGAGGUGAUGUAGAGGGGACUGCUAGGAAGAGCCAAGCACUACACCUUGUAUAUUUGUGUUAAAGGUGGCGAAAGGACUGGCAAUUCGGUGGGGUGGAAGAAAAGCCUGCCGAGGACAAUCGCGCAUUUACAGAUGGAGGCCCAAAGCUCAGGGAUGUCACAGGUCAAAGAAGCUACUAGCCAUAGAGGCACCAAUAAAUUGCAGUUUAAUUUUUGGUGAGAAAACUUUA